rnacentral:rRNA from 1 species
UUCGGAGCAUUUUACGAGGUGCUGCAUGGUUGUCGUCAGCUCGUGUCGUGAGAUGUUGGGUUAAGUCCCGUAACGAGCGCAACCCUUGCCUUUAGUUGCCAGCAGUUCGGCUGGGCACUCUAAAGGGACUGCCGGUGUUAAACCGGAGGAAGGUGGGGAUGACGUCAAGUCCUCAUGGCCUUUAUGACCAGGGCUACACACGUACUACAAUGGCCGAUACAAAGGGCAGCGACACUGCGAGGUGAAGCCAAUCCCGUAAAAAUCGGUCUCAGUCCGGAUUGGAGUCUGCAACUCGACUCCAUGAAGUUGGAAUCGCUAGUAAUCGUGGAUCAGCAUGCCACGGUGAAUACGUUCCCGGGCCUU